rnacentral:tRNA from 1 species
GCCUGGCUGGCUCAGUCAGUGAAGUGUGUGACUCUUGAGCUCAGGGUUGUGAGUUCGAGUCUCAUGUUGGGUG